ensembl:snoRNA SNORA73 Small nucleolar RNA SNORA73 family
CCAACAUGGAUAACCCAGGCGGUCACUCUCUCUGGGCUCUGUCCUAGUGGCAUAGGGUAGCAUAGGUUUCUGUCCCAUGAUGUGCAGUCACUUUCUACCAUUGGAGAUGAAGCUGGACUUUGAGUCUUUACCUGUAUAGUCCUAAAACUUCUCAGAGUCCUGUGGAUGAUGACUGGGGAGACAAACCAUGCAGGAAACAGUC